GCCUAACACAUGCAAGUCGAACGGCAGCACAGAGGAGCUUGCUCCUUGGGUGGCGAGUGGCGGACGGGUGAGGAAUACAUCGGAAUCUACUCUGUCGUGGGGGAUAACGUAGGGAAACUUACGCUAAUACCGCAUACGACCUACGGGUGAAAGCAGGGGAUCUUCGGACCUUGCGCGAUUGAAUGAGCCGAUGUCGGAUUAGCUAGUUGGCGGGGUAAAGGCCCACCAAGGCGACGAUCCGUAGCUGGUCUGAGAGGAUGAUCAGCCACACUGGAACUGAGACACGGUCCAGACUCCUACGGGAGGCAGCAGUGGGGAAUAUUGGACAAUGGGCGCAAGCCUGAUCCAGCCAUACCGCGUGGGUGAAGAAGGCCUUCGGGUUGUAAAGCCCUUUUGUUGGGAAAGAAAUCCAACUGGUUAAUACCCGGUUGGGAUGACGGUACCUAAAGAAUAAGCACCGGCUAACUUCGUGCCAGCAGCCGCGGUAAUACGAAGGGUGCAAGCGUUACUCGGAAUUACUGGGCGUAAAGCGUGCGUAGGUGGUUAUUUAAGUCCGUUGUGAAAGCCCUGGGCUCAACCUGGGAACUGCAGUGGAUACUGGAUGACUAGAAUGUGGUAGAGGGUAGCGGAAUUCCUGGUGU
rnacentral:rRNA from 1 species